rnacentral:rRNA from 1 species
AGGACGACGCUGGCGGCGUGCCUAACACAUGCAAGUCGAGCGAGGAGAUCCUCGGGAUGAUCCUAGCGGCGGACGGGUGAGUAACACGUGGGCAACCUGCCUCAUAGAGAGGAAUAGCCUUCCGAAAGGGAGAUUAAUACCUCAUAACAUUGCAGUUUCGCAUGGAACAGCAAUUAAAGGAGCAAUCCGCUAUGAGAUGGGCCCGCGGCGCAUUAGCUAGUUGGUGAGGUAACGGCUCACCAAGGCGACGAUGCGUAGCCGACCUGAGAGGGUGAUCGGCCACAUUGGGACUGAGACACGGCCCAGACUCCUACGGGAGGCAGCAGUGGGGAAUAUUGCACAAUGGGGGAAACCCUGAUGCAAGCAACGCCGCGUGAGUGAUGACGGCCUUCGGGUUGUAAAGCUCUGUCUUCAGGGACGAUAAUGACGGUACCUGAGGAGGAAGCCACGGCUAACUACGUGCCAGCAGCCGC